CUUGUGUGCGCGGAGGAGAAGCACACUUCACCGACAAGUUGUUCCCGCUAUCCUCGCUGCCACUGCCAGUGACGGAACUUGGUGUGGACAACAUGCUGGAAAGAGAGUGUUCAUCCCUAUGAUCCCUUUGGCGCCCUCGGAGGACAUUUCACUUCCUUUCAAGUUGAAGAGGAAACAGUUCCCUGGAUCGAUCCUGGAGAGCCCCUUCCGUAACCAAGUCCCCUCCCCACUCGGAGUCCUCCGCCACUGACGCACGGGUAAGCGCCAGAGAUGCGGUGCAUCCACGCGGUUCAACGAGCUGCCGCUGUCGUAGAUAACCAAGACGUACACGGAGAUAAGCAAGAUUCAGUGUGAUGCACUGCCCCCAUGCGCUCUGAGGGUGCGAUGUCCCCGACGUGUCCAAGACAAGGUCCAGGAAGACCCUCGCCUUCGUUAUCCUGGAAUUAGGACUGGUGACAACAACAUGUGGAGUGGCACAACAAGUGGUGUUGUGGAGUACCGAAGCAAGGGUAGUCAGGUAAAUCCAACGGCGUGCACGUUUCGAUCGCCGACUGCGAUCGCCCUAUUUGGAC